rnacentral:ncRNA from 1 species
GCAAAUACUGUGACAGGGAGUAGUAGCCAUCUACAGCGCAUCAGAGAGCCGCCGGCCGGUGAAAGGCGGUUGCGUGAACGUGGUGAACUGGCCCUUGAGUAGCCUUCCCAACGGAUCAGGGGAUCCCAGUAGGAACGGCCGGCUGCCCGCCGUUACCGGGACGACGAGGAGCACACGGACAGGCGUGUGAAAUAGAGUGGUACCGCGUGAGAAGAAUGGUCUUGCGUCUCUAUA